GACGUAGGGCGCGAGCGUUGUCCGGAUUUAUUGGGCGUAAAGGGCUCGUAGGUGGCCAACUAAGUCAUACGUGAAAUCCCUCGGCUUAACCGGGGAACUGCGUCUGAUACUGGAUGGCUUGAGGUUGGGAGAGGGAUGCGGAAUUCCAGGUGUAGCGGUGAAAUGCGUAGAUAUCUGGAGGAACACCGGUGGCGAAGGCGGUUCUCUGGGCAUUACCUGACGCUGAGGAGCGAAAGUGUGGGGAGCGAACAGG
rnacentral:rRNA from 1 species